CUUCUGUAUAUUUUUCAUAAAGAUUUUUACAAAUGAUCAGCUGGAUGAGACUUUAUGUGAUGAUUAUUUUGAGAAUCCAUCUUUUUCUAAUGCACCGAAUGCAAAUAAUAAGUUGGUGGAGUGCGAGAAAGAUGGAAGAUCGGGAUAUCACUUUUCAUCACCACUAUAGGGCUGCUGAUGGAUCAAAGACCUUGUUCCUAACUUGUAGGAGCAAUGGGUUAUGACAAGAAAAGGAGUGCAAGAGGAAC
rnacentral:lncRNA from 1 species